rnacentral:rRNA from 1 species
GUACGAUGAUCACAUUCGGUGGGGAUUAGUGGCGAACGGGUGAGUAACACGUGGGCAAUCUGCCCUGCACUCUGGGACAAGCCCUGGAAACGGGGUCUAAUACCGGAUACUGACCCUCGCAGGCAUCUGCGAGGUUCGAAAGCUCCGGCGGUGCAGGAUGAGCCCGCGGCCUAUCAGCUUGUUGGUGAGGUAAUGGCUCACCAAGGCGACGACGGGUAGCCGGCCUGAGAGGGCGACCGGCCACACUGGGACUGAGACACGGCCCAGACUCCUACGGGAGGCAGCAGUGGGGAAUAUUGCACAAUGGGCGAAAGCCUGAUGCAGCGACGCCGCGUGAGGGAUGACGGCCUUCGGGUUGUAAACCUCUUUCAGCAGGGAAGAAGCGAAAGUGACGGUACCUGCAGAAGAAGCGCCGGCUAACUACGUGCCAGCAGCCGCGGUAAUACGUAGGGCGCAAGCGUUGUCCGGAAUUAUUGGGCGUAAAGAGCUCGUAGGCGGCUUGUCGCGUCGGUUGUGAAAGCCCGGGGCUUAACCCCGGGUCUGCAGUCGAUACGGGCAGGCUAGAGUUCGGUAGGGGAGAUCGGAAUUCCUGGUGUAGCGGUGAAAUGCGCAGAUAUCAGGAGGAACACCGGUGGCGAAGGCGGAUCUCUGGGCCGAUACUGACGCUGAGGAGCGAAAGCGUGGGGAGCGAACAGGAUUAGAUACCCUGGUAGUCCACGCCGUAAACGGUGGGCACUAGGUGUGGGCAACAUUCCACGUUGUCCGUGCCGCAGCUAACGCAUUAAGUGCCCCGCCUGGGGAGUACGGCCGCAAGGCUAAAACUCAAAGGAAUUGACGGGGGCCCGCACAAGCGGCGGAGCAUGUGGCUUAAUUCGACGCAACGCGAAGAACCUUACCAAGGCUUGACAUACACCGGAAAGCAUCAGAGAUGGUGCCCCCCUUGGGGUCGGUGUACAGGUGGGUGCAUGGCCUGUCCUCCAGCUCGUGUCCUGAAAAUGUUGGGGUUAAGUCCCCCCAACGAGCGCCAACCCUUGGUCCCGUGGUUGCCAGCCAGGCCCUUGUGGUGGCUGGGGGACUCACCGGGAAAACCGCCCGGGGUCAACUCCGGAAGGAAGGUGGGGGAACCAACCUCCAAGUCCAUCCAUGCCCCCUUUAAGGUCUUGGGGCUGGCACACCGUGGCUACAAUGGGGCCUGGCAACAAUGGAACCUGCCUAAUACCCCCAAGGGGGUGAAACGAAAUCUCCGAAAAAAGCCUGGGUCUCCCACUUUCGCAAAUUGGGGCGUCUGGCAACCUUCGACCCCAUGUAAAGUUCGGGAAUUCGCUAGUAAAAUCGCACGAUAAGUACAUUUUUGCUUGCGGUGGGUAAAAACUUUCCCCGGACUUGUUGACACACCGCCCGUCGACGUCACGAAAGUCGGUAACACCCGAAGCCGGUGGCCCAACCCCUUGUGGGAGGGAGCUGUCGAAGGUGGGACUGGCGAUUGGGACGAAGUCGAACAAGGGUAACC